rnacentral:rRNA from 1 species
UGGGGAAUCUUAGACAAUGGGGGAAACCCUGAUCUAGCCAUGCCGCGUGAGUGACGAAGGCCCUAGGGUCGUAAAGCUCUUUCGCUGGGGAAGAUAAUGACUGUACCCAGUAAAGAAACCCCGGCUAACUCCGUGCCAGCAGCCGCGGUAAUACGGAGGGGGUUAGCGUUGUUCGGAAUUACUGGGCGUAAAGCGCGCGUAGGCGGACAUUUAAGUCAGAGGUGAAAUCCCAGGGCUCAACCCUGGAACUGCCUUUGAUACUGGGUGUCUUGAGUUCGAGAGAGGUGAGUGGAAUUCCGAGUGUAGAGGUGAAAUUCGUAGAUAUUCGGAGGAACACCAGUGGCGAAGGCGGCUCACUGGCUCGAUACUGACGCUGAGGUGCGAAAGUGUGGGGAGCAAACAGGAUUAGAUACCCCUGUAGUCC